rnacentral:rRNA from 1 species
UACGAAGGGGGCUAGCGUUGUUCGGAAUCACUGGGCGUAAAGGGUGCGUAGGCGGGCAUUUAAGUCAGGGGUGAAAUCCCGAGGCUCAACCUCGGAACUGCCCUUGAUACUGGAUGUCUUGAGUCCGGAAGAGGUGAGUGGAACUGCGAGUGUAGAGGUGAAAUUCGUAGAUAUUCGGAGGAACACCAGUGGCGAAGGCGGCCCACUGGCUCGACACUGACGCUGAGGCGCGAAAGCGCGGGGAGCAAACAGG